rnacentral:rRNA from 1 species
UACGGAGGGGGCUAGUGUUGUUCGGAAUUACUGGGCGUAAAGCGCACGUAGGCGGCUUUGCAAGUUAGAGGUGAAAGCCCGGGGCUCAACUCCGGAAUUGCCUUUAAAACUGCAUCGCUAGAAUUGUGGAGAGGUAAGUGGAAUUCCGAGUGUAGAGGUGAAAUUCGUAGAUAUUCGGAAGAACACCAGUGGCGAAGGCGACUGACUGGACAUGUAUUGACGCUGAGGUGCGAAAGCGUGGGUAGCGAACAGG